UAGGUCCUCCUGCGGGAGAUGCUUCUGCAGC
rnacentral:piRNA from 1 species